UUGAUCAAUGUGUUCUUUAUGCCUUCGACGAUGGUUGAGG
rnacentral:sRNA from 1 species